rnacentral:lncRNA from 1 species
UUUCUGCGGAGGUGAUGGAAUUGAUCUUGCCAAUCCAUGGUCUGCCCAGGAUGCCGUUUUAUGGUGAGACCUCAUUAAUGACCAUGAAUGUUUGCGAGCUGAUUACAGGUGGGGAGUAGACGUCAAGGUCUAUCGUGCCCACGAUAACCAUUGUUGCACCAUUAAAGCCAGUCAGCAAUCUGGCUAACUUGUUGAUCUUUAUCUCCAAGCCCAUCUGUUGGAUGACCGCCAGUUGUAGGAUAUUGG